rnacentral:rRNA from 2 species
AAACGACUCUCGGCAACGGAUAUCUCGGCUCUCGCAUCGAUGAAGAACGUAGCGAAAUGCGAUACUUGGUGUGAAUUGCAGAAUCCCGUGAACCAUCGAGUUUUUGAACGCAAGUUGCGCCCGAAGCCUUUUGGUCGAGGGCACGUCUGCCUGGG